UGAGUUUAGGAGACUUUGUCUUUGUGUUUAUUUAAUGCAGUACAAAACUUCCCGCUGGAGGUUCCCGUAACUCCUCUGCCCUGUGGGCCCGCCAGAAAGAGCUCACUGAGUGCAACAAUUGUUUCAUAUCUUUGGGUCUAACCACUGGAGCAUGGGCAAUCUGCAGCAACGGUACUCUGGAAGAAAAAUAACUCUUCUCCCAGCAGCCGACAAUUGUCAACAGCUCCUAAGUUUGGGGUGGAAUCUUCUGAGUCCCCCUCCCAGCCAUGCUGUAAUGUUGAGUGGAUUGAUCGUGUUCAGGCCGAUCUGUUCCAGGUGCCAGAGUGAAGUCAUGUUGGAAAUGAACUGUGUGAGCAGUGCUGAUGAUUGGUCUGUCCUGCCUUGUUCUACUUCAGCUAAACUAUCAUUUACUCAAUGCUAA